rnacentral:rRNA from 1 species
UACAGAGGUGGCAAGCGUUGUUCGGAAUUACUGGGCGUAAAGGGCGCGUAGGCGGCCUACUAAGUCAGACGUGAAAUCCCCCGGCUUAACCUGGGAACUGCGUCUGAUACUGGAAGGCUUGAGGAUGGGAGAGGGAUGUAGAAUUCCAGGUGUAGCGGUGAAAUGCGUAGAUAUCAGGAGGAACACCGGUGGUGUAGACGGCUCUCUGGACCGUAACUGACGCUGAGACACGAAAGCGUGGGUAGCAAACAGG